CAAGGCACCAAUUCCAAACAAAGAGGGAGAUAUAUUCAAAUUGAUAUAUUUUUUGCGCUAAACUUAAAAUUCUCAACACUAAUAGAUGCGUUCUCCAAAUUUUUAGUAAUUAAACAUAUCGACGAUAAAACUAAAUUACAGGAUAAAAGCGAAUGAAAAUACAAAUUAAAUAUUGCGACCCUAAACAUUCAACAACUAUUGGACAAAUAGAAAGAGUACACUCUACAAUAAUAGAAAUAUCAAGAUGCAUCAGGGAUGAAUUUGAAAUAGUGAACGAUUUAGAAGUGAUAAUUAGGGCUGUCCAAUCCUAUAAUCAAACAAUACACUCAGUAACAGGUUCAACAUGUUACACCUCAUCGUAAUUUACAUUACAAUCACUGCUAUUAGAGAGAGAUUAAAGAGGAUUGUUUAACUUUUUCGGAACAGGAUUGAAGUAUAUUUAUGGAGUAAUGGACGAUGAAGAUCGUCAAGAAAUAGAAGGAAAAUUAGCAGUAAACACACAUAAUGCAAUAGAGCAAAUCAACCUCCAGAAGAAUAUUAAUGAGAAAUUAAUUACGAAAUUCAAACCAUUACUGCAAACCUAAACCAACAUUAUUAAGAAUUAUUUCAGAAUAUU